rnacentral:rRNA from 1 species
UACGUAGGGGGCAAGCGUUGUCCGGAAUCAUUGGGCGUAAAGCGCGUGUAGGCGGGUUUUUAAGUCAGGGGUGAAAUCCUGGAGCUCAACUCCAGAACUGCCUUUGAUACUGAAGAUCUUGAGUCCGGGAGAGGUGAGUGGAACUGCGAGUGUAGAGGUGAAAUUCGUAGAUAUUCGCAAGAACACCAGUGGCGAAGGCGGCUCACUGGCCCGGUACUGACGCUGAGGCACGAAAGCGUGGGGAGCAAACAGG